rnacentral:rRNA from 1 species
UACAGGGGGCUCGAGCGUUAGUCGGAAUCACUGGGCUUAAAGGGUGCGUAGGUGGCUCGCCAAGUGUUUUGUGAAAUCCCACAGCUCAACUGUGGAACAGCAGGGCAAACUGGCGAGCUUGAGGCAGGUAGGGGCCGGAAGAACAGUUGGUGGAGCGGUGAAAUGCGUAGAUAUCAACUGGAAUGCCGAUGGGGAAGCCGUCCGGCUGGGCCUGUCCUGACACUGAGGCACGAAAGCGUGGGGAGCGAACAGG